AGUGAACGCUGGCGGUAGGCCUAACACAUGCAAGUCGAACGGCAGCACAGUAAGAGCUUGCUCUUACGGGUGGCGAGUGGCGGACGGGUGAGGAAUACAUCGGAAUCUACUUUUUCGUGGGGGAUAACGUAGGGAAACUUACGCUAAUACCGCAUACGACCUACGGUUGAAAGCAGGGGAUCUUCGGACCUUGCGCGAUUGAAUGAGCCGCUGUCGGAUUAGCUAGUUGGCGGGGUAAAGGCCCACCAAGGCGACGAUCCGUAGCUGGUCUGAGAGGAUGAUCAGCCACACUGGAACUGAGACACGGUCCAGACGCCUAAGGGAGGCAGCAGUGGGGAAUAUUGGACAAUGGGCGCAAGCCUGAUCCAGCCAUACCGCGUGGGUGAAGAAGGCCUUCGGGUUGUAAAGCCCUUUUGUUGGGAAAGAAAAGCAGCAGGUUAAUACCCCGCUGUUCUGACGGUACCCAAAGAAUAAGCACCGGCUAACUUCGUG
rnacentral:rRNA from 1 species